rnacentral:hammerhead_ribozyme from 1 species
ACCCAGUUGACGAGUCCUAAGUGGGAGGAAACACACGUCCUGGAU